rnacentral:rRNA from 1 species
GAUGCGGAGCGAACAAAAGUAGCGAAGAGCAAGGAGCGUCUGUCGAGAAAAGCCGCUAUUGUUUAUUAUGUGCCCGUACCGUAAACCGACACAGGUGGAUGAGGAGAGAAUCCUAAGGCCGACGGAAGAAGUAUCGUUAAGGAACUCGGCAAAAUGACCCCGUAACUUCGGGAGAAGGGGUGCCAUCCUCCGGGAUGGCCGCAGAGAAUAGGCUCAAGCAACUGUUUAGCAAAAACACAGGUCUAUGCGAAACCGAAAGGUGAGGUAUAUGGGCUGACGCCUGCCCGGUGCUGGAAGGUUAAGAGGAGAGGUUAGCGUAAGCGAAGCUUUGAAUUCAAGCCCCAGUAAACGGCGGCCGUAACUAUAACGGUCCUAAGGUAGCGAAAUUCCUUGUCGGGUAAGUUCCGACCCGCACGAAAGGCGUAAUGAUUUGAGCACUGUCUCAACGAUACAUCCGGUGAAAUUGAAAUACCAGUGAAGAUGCUGGUUACCCGCGCCAGGACGGAAAGACCCCAUGGAGCUUUACUCCAGUUUGGUACUGGGAUUCGGUACUGCAUGUACAGGAUAGGUGGGAGACGAAGAGACUAGGACGCCAGUCUUAGAGGAGUCACUGUUGGGAUACCACCCUUGCAGUAUUGGGUUUCUAACCAGCCGCCGUAAACCGGUGGUGGGACAAUGCCAGGCGGGGAGUUUGACUGGGGCGGUCGCCUCCGAAAGGGUAUCGGAGGCGCUCGAAGGUUCCCUCAGAAUGGUCGGAAACCAUUUGAAGAGUGCAAAGGCAGAUGGGAGCCUGACUGCGACAGCGACGGUUGGAGCAGGUACGAAAGUAGGACUUAGUGAUCCGGUGGUAUAAAGUGGGAUUGCCAUCGCUCAACGGAUAAAAGCUACCCUGGGGAUAACAGGCUUAUCACUCCCAAGAGUUCACAUCGACGGAGUGGUUUGGCACCUCGAUGUCGGCUC